CAGCCGCCAGGUAACACGUAGGUGGCAAGCGUUGUCCGGAAUUAUUGGGCGUAAAGGGCUCGCAGGCGGUUUCUUAAGUCUGAUGUGAAAGCCCCCGGCUCAACCGGGGAGGGUCAUUGGAAACUGGGAAACUUGAGUGCAGAAGAGGAGAGUGGAAUUCCACGUGUAGCGGUGAAAUGCGUAGAGAUGUGGAGGAACACCAGUGGCGAAGGCGACCCUCUGGUCUGUAACUGACGCUGAGGAGCGAAAGCGUGGGGAGCGAACAGGAUUAGAUACCCCGGUAGUCCCUGUCUCUUAUACA
rnacentral:rRNA from 1 species